rnacentral:rRNA from 1 species
UGGCUUAGAAGCAGCCACCCUUGAAAGAGUGCGUAACAGCUCACUGGUCGAGUGGCCCUGCGCGGACAAUGUAACGGGGCUUAAGUACAGAGCCGAAACUGCGGAUGUCUGUGUAAACAGGCAUGGUAGCGGAGCGUCGAUCUUGGUGUGAAGCGCCGGUGUGAACCGUCGUGGACCGUGGUCGAGUGCGAAUGCAGGUAUGAGUAGCGAAAGAGGGGUGAGAAACCCCUCCACCGGAAGUCCAAGGGUUCCUGGGGAAGGCUAAUCCUCCCAGGGUAAGUCGGGAGCUAAGGCGAGGCCGAUAGGCGUAGUCGAUGCACAACCGGUUGAUAUUCCGGUACCACCAAGUGCGCGUCCAUGCAAAAGCGAGAUUGCUAAGAGGAUGCCUGGCGCCCCACGAAGGGGCAAUAGGUCGAAUCGACCCAUCUCGUGGCUGCAAGCAAUGCGGGGACACAGUAAGGUAGGUGAGCCCAGGCGAUGGUUGUCCUGGGGUAAGCGUGUAGGAGGAGGACCAGGCAAGUCCGGGCCUCAUAAACUCUGAGACGCGACGCCGAACCGCUAUAGGUGAAGUCACUGAUCCUAUGCUGUCGAGAAAAGCCGCUAGCGAGCUCACUCGGUGCCCGUACCCCAAACCAACUCAGGUGGACAGGUAGAGAAUACCAAGGUGAUUGGGUGAACUAUGGUUAAGGAACUCGGCAAAUUGCGUCCGUAACCUCGGGAGAAGGACGACUCCAAUAGGGUGACGGCCCUUAGCGGCCCGAGCUCGAAGGAGUGGCACAAACCAGGGGGAAGCGACUGUUUACUAAAAACACAGCAGCGUGCGAAGCCGCAAGGCGAUGUAUACGCUGUGACGCCUGCCCGGUGCUGGAAGGUUACGGGGAAAGGUUAGCCUCCGGGCGAAGCUUUGAACCUAAGCCCCAGUAAACGGCGGCCGUAACUAUAACGGUCCUAAGGUAGCGAAAUUCCUUGUCGGGUAAGUUCCGACCUGCACGAAUGGCGUAACGACUUCCCUACUGUCUCAACCAUAGACCCAGCGAAAUUGAAGUACGAGUAAAGAUGCUCGUUAGCUGCAGAAGGACGGAAAGACCCCGUGCACCUUUACUACAGUCUGGUAUUGGUUUUUGGUAUAGGUUGUGUAGGAUAGGUGGGAGACUUGGAAGCGAGGGCGCUAGCUCUCGUGGAGUCAACCUUGAAAUACCACCCUUUCUAUGCUGGGAAUCUAACCUAGAUCCGUUAUCCGGAUCAGGUACAGUGCCAGAUGGGUAGUUUGACUGGGGCGGUCGCCUCCCAAAAGGUAACGGAGGCGCCCAAAGGUUCCCUCAGCCUGGUCGGCCAUCAGGCGUUGAGUGCAAUGACACAAGGGAGCUUGACUGCGAGACGUACAUGUCGAGCAGGUGCGAAAGCAGGGCAUAGUGAUCCGGCGGUUGCGUGUGGAAGCGCCGUCGCUCAACGGAUAAAAGGUACCCCGGGGAUAACAGGCUCAUCUUCCCCAAGAGUCCAUAUCGACGGGAAGGUUUGGCACCUCGAUGUCGGCUCAUCGCAUCCUGGGGCUGAAGCAGGUCCCAAGGGUUGGGCUGUUCGCCCAUUAAAGCGGUACGCGAGCUGGGUUUAGAACGUCGUGAGACAGUUCGGUCCCUAUCCUCUGCAGCCGGAAGAGACUUGAGGAAAGCUGUCCCUAGUACGAGAGGACCGGGACGGACGCAGCUCUCGUGUGCCAGUUGUUCCGCCAGGAGCAUGGCUGGUUGGCGACCUGCGGAAGGGAUAACCGCUGAAAGCAUCUAAGCGGGAAGCCUGUUCCGAGAUGAGGUCUCUCACCGGGUAAGACCGGGUAAGGCCCGUGGCAGAACACCACGUUGAUAGGCCGGAAGUGUACGCACGGUGACGUGUUCAGCUGACCGGUACUAAUCGGCCGAGGGCUUGGUUCA